GUGCGGGCCUUAUUAAGGGGUGGGGAUCCGGAAGUGGGCGGGGCUUUGAGAUGGGUGGGGCGAAUCGGGAGUGGGUGGGGCUUGGAAAAGGGGCGGAGCCUACAAAGGGAUGUGAGGGGCUUGAAAAUGGGUUGGGGCCAAAAGUGGCGGGGGUUUUGAGAUGGGUGCGGGCGAUACGGUGCUGCCAGGUGGGGCUUAGAAAGAAAGGGGGCGGGGGCUUUGGAAAGGGGCGGAAAGGCCUAUGUAGGAAAGGGGGGUGGGAAAGGUGUGCGAGCUUAAAAAGGGGUGGGGCUCCAGAAGUGGGCGGGGCUUUGAGAUGGGUGGGGGGAUUCGGGAGUGGGCGGGGCUUGGAAAGGGGGCGGGGCUUGGAAAGGGGCGGAGCCUAUAGAGGGAAGGUGUGGAGCUUAAAAGGGGUGGGGGUCCAGAAGUGGGCGGGGCUUUGAGAUGGGUGGGGGAUCGGAGUUGGAGCGGGGCUUGGAAAGGGGCGGGGCCUUUGAAAAGGGCGGAGCCUGGUGGUGGAAGGGGGAGUGGGAAGGUGCGGGCCUUAUAAAGGGGUGGUGGCUCCGGAAGUGGGCGGGGCUUUGAGAUGGGUGAGGCGAAUCGGGAGUGGGCGGGGCUUGGAAAGGGGGCGGGGCUUGGAAAGGGGCAGAGCCUAUAGAGGGAAGGUGUGGAGCUUAAAAGGGGUGAGGGUUCAGCAGUGGGCGAGGGGGCUUUUGAGAUUGGUGGGGCCGAAUACGGGUGUGGGUGGGGCUUGGAAAGGGGGCGCGGGCGGGCGCGGUGGGGCGCUGCGCCCUGACCCCCCCCCCCCCAAAAGCAGGGGCAGUGAAGGUGACCCCCGCCCACGACCGCCACCGACUUCGAAUUGGGGCAGCGGCACCAACUGCCCACCGUCAGCAUCAUAGGGGAGGAUGGGAGGCUGGAGAACGUACCGCCCCCUUUCCUGGGAAUGCGGCGCUUUGAGGCCCGGGGGGCGUUAUGGGGCAGGUUAUGGGGUGGGGCCAUGGGGUGGGGAUGUGGAGUGGGGGUUGUGGGGUUAUGGGGUGGAGUUAUGGGUGUGGGGUGGGUUAUGGGGCGGGGUUAUGGGGCCGGGUUAUGGGUGGGGGGCAGUUAUGGAGCAGGGUUAUGGGGUGGGCUAUGGGGUGGGAUGUGGAGUGGGGGUUGUGGGUAUAGGGGUGGAGUUAUGGGUGUGGGUGGGGUUAUGGGGCGGGGUUAUGGGGCCGGGUUAUGGGUGUGGGGGCAGUUAUGGGUAGGGUUAUGGGGUGGGCUAUGGGGUGGGGAUGUGGAGUGGGGGUUGUGGGGUUAUGGGGUGGAGUUAUGGGGUGGGGAUGUGGGGGGCGAGUGGGUUAGGGGGUGGGUUAUGGGGUGGGGAUGUGGGGUGGGGUUGUGGGUUAUGGGGCAGGGUUAUGGGGUGGGGCUAUGGGUGGGGAUGUGGAGUGGGGUUGUGGGUUAUGGGUG
rnacentral:lncRNA from 7 species